GUUUCUGUAGUGCACAAUGGAUAACUCGUUGGACUUCUAAUCCAAAGGUCGAGGUCUUGAAUCCCACCAGGAAUG